GGGCUAAUUUUGGGGCGCGGCUGUGCCCGUGGCCUAUUUUUGGCACACGAGGGCCACCCGCAAAGUCUGGGGCCAUUCCGAGUCCGGCGGACGAACUUCGCCCACGCCCCCCACCAAGGCUAUAGCCCACCCGUUUUUUGGCCAUUUUUCCGCUGGGGGGUCUUGGCAGCCCGACCUUCGGGGGCUAAUUUUUGGGCACGGCUGUGCCCGUGGUCUAUUUUUGGCACACGGAGGCCGCCCGCAAAGUCUGGGGCCAUUCCGAGUCCGGUGGACGAACUUCGCCCGCGCCCCCCACCAAGGCUAUAGCCCACCCGUUUUUUGGCCAUUUUUCCGCUGGGGGGACUUGGCGCCCCGACCUUCGGGGACUAAUUUUUGGGCGCGGCUGUGCCCGUGGCCUAUUUUUGGCACACGGAGGCCGCCCGCAAAGUCUGGGGCCAUUCCGAAUCCGGCGGACGAACUUCGCCCACGCCCCCCACCAAGGCUAUAGCCCACCCGUUUUUUGUCCAUUUUUCCGCUGGGGGGUCUUGGCACCUCCACCUUCGGGGGCUAAUUUUUGGGCGCGGCUGUGCCCGUGGCCUAUUUUUGGCACACGAGGGCCACCCGCAAAGUCUGGGGCCAUUCCGAGUCCGGCGGACGAACUUCGCCCACGCCCCCCACCAAGGCUAUAGCCCACCCGUUUUUUGGCCAUUUUUCCGCUGGGGGGUCUUGGCGCCCCGACCUUCGGGGGCUAAUUUUUGGGCGCGGCUGUGCCCGUGGCCUAAUUUUGGCACACGGAGGCUGCCCGCAAAGUCUGGGGCCAUUCCGAGUCCGGCGGACGAACUUCGCCCACGCCCCCCACCAAGGCUAUAGCCCACCCGUUUUUUGACCAUUUUUCCGCUGGGGGGUCUUGGCACCUCCACCUUCGGGGGCUAAUUUUUGGGCGCGGCUGUGCCCGUGGCCUAUUUUUGGCACACGAGGGCCGCCCGCAAAGUGUGGGGCCAUUCCGAGUCCGGCGGACGAAGUUCGCCCACGCCCCCCACCAAGGCUAUAGCCCACCCGUUUUUUGGCCAUUUUUCCGCUGGGGGGUCUUGGCACCUCCACCUUCGGGGGCUAAUUUUUGGGCCCGGCUGUGCCCGUGGCCUAUUUUUGGCACACGGAGGCUGCCCGCAAAGUCUGGGGCCAUUCCGAGUCCGGCGGACGAACUUCGCCCACGCCCCCCACCAAGGCUAUAGCCCACCCGUUUUUUGGCCAUUUUUCCGCUGGGGGGUCUUGGCACUUCCACCUUCGGGGGCUAAUUUUUGGGCGCGGCUGUGC
rnacentral:lncRNA from 1 species